rnacentral:rRNA from 1 species
CAAUAGCGUAUAUUAAAGUUGUUGCAGUUAAAAGCUCGUAGUUGGAUUUCGGAGUGGGCCAGUUGGUCCGCCGCAAGGUGUGUUACUGACUGGUUUGCUCUUCUUCGCAAAGACUGCGUGUGCUCUUGAGUGAGUGUGCGUAGAAUUUACGACGUUUACUUUGAAAAAUUAGAGUGUUCAUAGCAGGCCCAGACGCCUGAAUAAUGUUGCAUGGAAUAAUGGAAUAGGACCUCGGUUCUAUUUUGUUGGUUUUCGGAGCGGAGGUAAUGAUUAAUAGGGACGGCCGGGGGCAUUCGUAUUACGGUGUUAGAGGUGAAAUUCUGGGAUCAUCGUAAGACGAACUACAGCGAAAGCAUUUGCCAAGAAUGUUUUCAUUAAUCAAGAACGAAAGUCAGAGGUUCGAAGACGAUUAGAU